AUUGAACGCUGGCGGCAUGCCUUACACAUGCAAGUCGAACGGUAACGGGCCUUCGGGUGCCGACGAGUGGCGUACGGGUGAGUAAUACAUCGGAACGUGCCCGAUCGUGGGGGAUAACGAGGCGAAAGCUUUGCUAAUACCGCAUACGAUCUACGGAUGAAAGCAGGGGACCGCAAGGCCUUGCGCGGACGGAGCGGCAGAUGGCAGCUUAGGUAGUUGGUGGGAUAUAAGCUUACCAAGCCGACGAUCUGUAGCUGGUCUGAGAGGAUGAUCAGCCACACUGGGACUGAGACACGGCCCAGACUCCUGCGGGAGGCAGCAGUGGGGAAUUUUGGACAAUGGGCGCGAGCCUGAUCCAGCCAUGCCGCGUGCAGGAUGAAGGCCUUCGGGUUGUAAACUGCUUUUGUACGGAACGAAAAGCCUUCUUUUAAUACAGGAGGGUCAUGACGGUACCGGAAGAAUAAGCACCGGCUAACUACGUG
rnacentral:rRNA from 1 species